AUUAUUGGCGAAAUUUAAAUCAUAAAUGCUUAAAAACGGAACAAACGUAUGUUAAAUAAGAAGUGUUUUAUAGCGUCCCUUAAGGGCACGUGUCACUAUAUGAAAAAUCAAAACUUUUCGGUUUUUCUCUCCUUCUCUCCUUCUCUUCGUCUCCCUUCCUCCAUUGCCAAGCCUUCAUCAUCUUUUCUUUCUCUUCUUCGCCUUCAUCUUCUCCUUCUCUUCUUCGCCUGAGUUCACUCCUUACAGACGGAAUCGCACAGAGCUCGAAUGAUAACACGGAGUCGUACGGCUCGGAAUUGCUUCGUCGGCCGCAUCUUCACCCUCUCUGCUCGUUCUCUGUCACCAUCCUCAAUCUCAGGUCGAGUGGGGUAACUAAAGCUCUAAAGGCUGAGUGAUGUGGUUGUCAUCACUCUCGUAGUGUUUCUUCCUUUAACAAGAGCUUAAAGCUUAGAAAGAGACCAAGCAAACAAAAGGUUACUAAGGAACAGAGUUUCAGCACAUCAAGCAAGAGAGAGGAAGAAAGCUUACUUGGGUGAGUUGGAAAACAGAGUGAAAGACUUGGAGAAUAGAAACUCUGAACUUGAAGAUAGACUCUCUACUUUGCAGAACGAGAACCAGAUGCUUAGACAGAUUUUGAAGAACACAACAGGAAACAAGAGAGGAGGCGGUGGUUCUAACGCUGAUGCAAACCCUUGUUACCUGGUUUGCUUACUGGUUAACUUGCAGGAGAUUAUCUCGCAUUCAACAAGCAGAUCACUUGUGUUUAGGGAUGGCAAUUGGGCUCUCCCGUCCCGUCCCGAACCGCUGCGGGUUCGGCUUCUGGCGGUACACGGCGGGUCUGUCCCGCGCGGGAUGCGGUCUUCAAACUAGCUACCCAAUCCCGUACCGCGAAAUAUGUAGGCCUUCGCGGGCCG